rfam:Patagioenas fasciata monilis isolate BTP2013 Sc31e1R_64, whole genome shotgun sequence.
CUAGGAGAACCGAAAACAGUUCUAGACUGACCUGCGGUUUUAUAGCACUUUGGCAGUCAACUUCAGCUUGUGUCAGACCAGACAUGAUAGAGCUGCCCAACGCUUAAUCGUGGGACGCCACCUCCUCGGACUCAAUGCAGCCCCCCUCUUGCCUUUCAAUAAAUUUAAAACCUUUGGGGCUAGCAAUGGGGGACAGAGCUG